GGGGAGAGGAAGAAGGGGUGAGAGGGAGAACCUGCCGCUGCUCGCCGCCUCUUUGUCUGCUCCGGGACUGGGAACAAAGGGGGGAACUCUGAUGAACUCUCCUCCCCUCGCCCCGGACGCCCGGUUAUCUCCCUGUAGCAACUUUGCAGCCUCGACUUUCUGCGGUGUCAGGCCACACAAAAGUGUCCAUGCGCUUUGCGGACUGCAACAGGGGAGCGUCUCUGAAAAGUGUGACCAAGUGGGAAAAAGGUGUGGUUAUUAUCAACAUCUAGCAAGCAUCAUGCAGUGCAUUGUUCUUACGAGAUCUUAAUAUCAGUGAACAUUAUGGAAGUACCAGUACAACGUCACAUCAUUCGUGGAUGAAAAGUUAUCAAACUUCUUCAUUUGGAGUUACAUAAGAUUCAAAAUGAUGGGAGUUCUGAUGAUGCCUUCCCUAUCUGGAUUACUACAGUUUGAACACUGGAAAUUCUCUGCCUUAAGGAAGUACUCUCAGGAGACUACAGAAGCAUUUAACACCCAGCAUGUUCAGUUCAGGUGUGAAUCAUGGUGACAGUGAAAGACGAUGAUUUACUGCUUUGGGGGGCAUGCGUGUAUAUGAUGAAGGGAUGUAAGUGCAGGACUCCAAGAUUUACUUCCUUCCUGUUCCAGCGGAGAUAGACGAGGAGAGUCAUCCCUGGCGUCCUCCUGGGACAUCCUGCUCAACUGCCUCUGAUCCACGGAUAGUUGUUCUCUGUUGUCCAUUUCACCAGAUAGCCUCAAAACUAACAAAAAGAGAAAUGGCUAAUGGGUCUCAUCCUGGAAUCCAUAUUACAUUUAGUUGUAAUGUCUUCUUCGACUCCUCUGAUCUGUGACAGUUUCUCAGACUUGUUUCUGAUGAUGACCUUGAGGAAUACUGGUAAGGAAAUUGAAGACUUGUUCAGAACCAGAUAACUGAUGAGAGAGAGAGAGAAGAAAGAGAGCAGCUGACAGCUCAGGUCCUCUUUCCACGCUCAGGAACCACCACACAUGCUACUGUGUUGGGCUUCAUUUUGUUUCUCUCUGAAACUUUGUACUCUAUUUGCAAUGGUAUGGUUAUUUGUUAAGACCUUUUACACAUUUUUUUAAACAAAUAUUGCUGCAAAGUUUUGUAUUUAAAUGAAACAUAUUUAAAUUAAAUAUUUUCUUGUUAUCUAGCAUGCACCUGAUUCUUUGAUUUGGUUGUUUUAGCCAAAAUCCCCGUAGAAGAGUCUGUCUAGGUGAUAGUUUAUGAGUACAGCUGGGCAAAACAAAACAACAGCCUAUGAAAAACUCAUUCUGAUCAUUUCAUAUCUAGGAAAAAUAGAGAACAACAAAAGUGAGUCAAUAUUUUAUAAAUUCGAGGUCAAUAUUCUAUGUCAAUGCCAAUAGCGUAUGAGUUCCAAAGGAUUUGUGUCACUAUUAAAUUAGAAAUGAUUCACUCUUAUUUGAUGUACAGUGGAUUUAGACAUAUAAUAGAGAGAAAGAAAGAGAAUACAAAGGAUAGAGAGCAAACAUAUCUUGUAGGACAAUUGCAAACCUCUUAUGAGCUUUGAUACAAAUAGAGACCAUCUCUUCUCCUUGGCUAUUCAUUCAUCUUUAGCAUUAGUGAAUUUAUGGCUUGUAUUCUCGACCUUGACCUAUAGCCCUGAAAUGCUGUAUGUCUGCCCUGCUUCAGCAGGUAAACUUCAGGACAGUGACUGUGUGUUACCUGUUACAUAUCUAUAGCCCAGAUCUUAGAUGAGUGCUAUUAGAAUUGGGAGAGAGGCUUUAAUUUGAUAUUCAGGGAUUGAUGUUUAUACAUUGGAUGUCACCUUUCAAUGUAAGCUUUUUAUUCUUAAUAUUUGAUCUAGUUUAAUUUCCUGAGCUAUUGGUCAUGAUUGUGGAAAUCACUCUGUAGGGCUUUCAUUGCUAAUAUAUUUUGUAACCAAUCAGGCUUGUGGAGAACUCAAUUUGUAUGUUUCUUUGAUAACUGAGGUACACAUCAAAGCAGGUUUCUCCUCCUUGCUUAGGAAUUUUUUCUAUUUUCCAUCAGAGUUCAGUGCCCAUACAGUACCACCACCAGUCAUAUAGCUUACUACUUAAGCAAUUCCUUUAAGGAUGUCAAGAGAGCAUGUUGUUUCUUUCACGUAACUUUUACUUUCAAAGUCAGACCAAAUUAGAUAUUAGAGUAUUAUAAAUUCCUAUCUUAAAUUCCUUUGGCAUUAUUUUUAUAUUCAUGUUUGUUGUCUGUACAUCAAGCAGAUUUUUUCCAGCCCAUUUCUACUGAUCGAUCACCACUGAUGAACAAACCCAUCUUUUCAUGCGUCUGCAAUGGAAAGCCUCUUUGCUAAAUACUUCAUACUGAUCAUUAUCUGAUACAGAAGACAACAAAUUUAAAAAUGCUCAGGUUGAAUAGAUUCAAUCUUCUCAUCCAUCAUUUUAGAAAAAUGACAGCACAACUUGUAUACAAUUUCAAAUGAAUUACUGGAAUAUUUCUGGCUAGACUGGGAGAACAUAUAUACUGAUAAGAAGCCCAUUUGAUUUACUAAAGCUUACCAUAUUAUUUAUUAACUCAGCAUCAUUAAUAUCCACAACUCAUUUUUUCUACUGAUGAUUGCUCCAUUGUACAAUAUAUAAGUGUAAUGAAAAAUUAUCUGUAUUUUUAGAAAUUGAAAAAAAUAAUUUACAUGAGUCAUAUUAUAUAGUCAACUCAGGACUGAAGUUAUAUAAUGAGUUAUAGCUGAGACAACAACAUAAGAGAGGCAUUGAAGUAUUGUAAAAGAUAAUGUGGUGAUGAUGUGUUUACAAUAAGCCUAUUCCUGCCGUUUUACCCUUUUAUCUAUUAUGUAUGUCACAUGCAGUUAUUAUUAUUUUUUUGGUUCUUGCCUUUCCCCUUAGCUCUUCCAAUGUUUUUUCCUCUUUUUUGAUAUAAAAAAUGAUAUUAAGUGGAAAGCAUAAAAAGCUUCAGGCUAUUCAAGGAGAGUAAAAAAGAGAAUUUUCCAGGCCUCAAAUAUUUCUGCUCUGGAUCUAGAACACAGCACAUAUUGAUAUGAGUUCUCUAAUUCAUGACUAUUUGGAAGUAUUGUGUACACGUUUCAGCAAAUUUUGGCAAAAGCCAUGUCCUCUAAUGAGGAAGUGACUGUCCUCUUCUUGUGUCAUUUCCCAGCCCUGAAGUCCUGUUUACACUAAGCUCCUUUGUUAAGGAUUCUACAUAAAGGUCUUUGAUACUGUCGAGCCCAUCCUUGAGUCAUUCUUAGCUGACACUUUGUGUCUGGCUGGCAGUUUUUCCAUGAGUGGUAAGGUCAGCCUCAUACAAUAUUACACAACCUCCCCCUACUCCUUGUGCGUCAGUGAGAAUCAAAUGACCCUUAAUAGUGAAAAAACAAAAUCUUGGAGUAAAGUAAAAAGAUGACCAAUCUUUAAACAAAGCAAACCGAUGUUCAGACUAGAAGGAUUCUCUCAUGUUCUUUAUGCAUUUUACUGGUUGUCUGUGAACAGCUUUUUCUUGCUAAAAAUGCUCUCUAAAAUGUUUAUUUGCUGUAGAUAAUUAUCAUCUUUUAAUUUGUGGUUUCUUUCCUUAAUAAAGUUAUGGAACAUUUGAGGUGAUUCGGGGUUAGCAUGGUAUAGUGGAGAGGGUACUGAGUCAGCUGCUUUCCCUUCCAAGGAUCCAUUGGAAGGACCCUUAAUUUUUCCUUGUCUGUCACCUCAUCUGUACAAUGAAAAUAAUCAUAUCUCCCUCACAGAGCUGAUGCGUAAUGUACUGUGUAUAAAAUAAUUUGGUACACUGUAAAAGCCGAUUUAAAUGAAAUAGGCUACUAUUCUUUUAAGAGCCAGAAGAGUUUGCUGUCAUUACUUGAGAAAAGGUCAGAAUAUGGAACCUUUUAGAAUUGCAUGUUUUAGAAAGAGUGAUUUGAUAAGUAUUGGCUUAAACUAGUGGGAUUUUCAAUAGCCCGGUUGCAGCAUUUUUCUUAUUACUUUGCCUCUGUAAAGCUUUCAUGCUAUAUUGGAAAAAUCUUCCCUUAACCAUGAAAUUAAAGAUGUAACUGAGUUUGAGUUA